UACGGAGGGGGCAAGCGUUAUUCGGAAUUAUUGGGCGUAAAGGGCGCGUAGGCGGCUAGAUGUGUCAAAGGUGAAAUCCCUCAGCUUAACUGGGGAACUGCGUCCGAUACUGGAUGGCUUGGAUUCGGGAGAGGGAUGCGGAAUUCCAGGUGUAGCGGUGAAAUGCGUAGAUAUCGAGAGGAACACCUGCGGCGAAGGCGGGUUGCUGGGCUGAUACUGACGCUGAGGCGCGAAAGCCAGGGGAGCGAACGGG
rnacentral:rRNA from 1 species